UACAGAGGGUGCAAGCGUUGUUCGGAAUUACUGGGCGUAAAGGCGCGUAGGCGGCCUGCUAAGUCGAACGUGAAAUCCCUGGGCUCAACCCAGGAACUGCGUCCGAUACUGGUUGGCUUGAAUCCGGGAGAGGGAUGUGGAAUUCCAGGUGUAGCGGUGAAAUGCGUAGAUAUCUGGAGGAAUACCGGUGGCGAAGGCGGCAUCCUGGACCAUUACUGACGCUGAGGCGGCGAAAAGCUAGGGGAGCAAACGGGG
rnacentral:rRNA from 1 species